AUGAAGGUAAUUAUGGAGAGAAUGAAGAGUGAGUUCUGCGUUUUGUAUUGCAGAGAUAGAGUGAAGAUGGUGAUGAUGAUGAUUGCUGAGGUGCGAUUUGAUAUUGAUAACAGAUGGAGAUUAUGUUGUUUCAGAGAGGUGAGGAAGAUUCUAGAAGAAGAAUUGUUGAUGUUGAUUGCUGAAACUAUUCUCAGAGAGAGCAGAGGGAAGCUUCAGUUGCAGAAGUAG